rnacentral:rRNA from 1 species
AACGGCCGUACCAUGCUGAAUAUACCGGUUCUCGUUAGAUCACCGAAGUCAAGCAUCAUUGGGCGCGGUCCGUACUUGGGUGGGUGACCACCUGGGAACACUGCGUGCCGUU